AAAUGCGAUAAGUAAUGUGAAUUGCAGAAUUCAGUGAAUCAUCGAAUCUUUGAACGCACAUUGCGCCCCCUGGUAUUCCGGGGGGCAUGCCUGUUCGAGCGUCAUUUCACCACUCAAGCCUCGCUUGGUAUUGGGCAACGCGGUCCGCCGCGUGCCUCAAAUCGACCGGCUGGGUCUUCUGUCCCCUAAGCGUUGUGGAAACUAUUCGCUAAAGGGUGCUCGGGAGGCUACGCCGUAAAACAAACCCAUUUCUAAGGUUGACCUCGGAUCAGGUAGGGAUACCCGCUGAACUUAAGC
rnacentral:misc_RNA from 1 species